GAUGAAGAACGUAGCGAAAUGCGAUAAGUAAUGUGAAUUGCAGAAUUCAGUGAAUCAUCGAAUCUUUGAACGCACAUUGCGCCCGCCAGUAUUCUGGCGGGCAUGCCUGUCCGAGCGUCAUUUCAACCCUCGAACCCCUCCGGGGGGUCGGCGUUGGGGACCUCGGGAGCCCCUAAGACGGGAUCCCGGCCCCGAAAUACAGUGGCGGUCUCGCCGCAGCCUCUCCUGCGCAGUAGUUUGCACAACUCGCACCGGGAGCGCGGCGCGUCCACGUCCGUAAAACACCCAACUUCUGAAAUGUUGACCUCGGAGCAGGUAGGAAUACCCGCUGAACUUAAGCAUAUCAAUAAGCGGAGGA
rnacentral:misc_RNA from 1 species